AUCGAACGCUGGCGGCAGGCCUAACACAUGCAAGUCGAACGAGUAGCGGACGGGCGAAUAAUGUCUGGGCACCUGCCUGAUGGAGGGGGAUAAAUACUGGAAACGGUAGCUAAUACAGCAUACCACCCGUUGUGCCCAGAUGGGAUUAGCUAGUUGUGGGGGUAACGGCUCACCAAGGCGACGAUCCAUAGCUGGUCUGCGAGGAUGACCAGCCACACUGGAAAUGAGACACGGUCCAGACUCCUACGGGAGGCAGCAGUGGGGAAUAUGGCACAAUGGGCGAAAGCCGGAAGCAGCCAUGCCGCGUGUAUGAAGAAGGUUUUCGGUUUGUAAAGUUCUUUCAGCGGGGAGGCGUUACCUGAAGAGGAAGCACCGGCUAAGUACGUGCCAGCCGCCGCGGUAAUUC
rnacentral:rRNA from 1 species